AGGGGACAAACAAAAAGACAAUGUGAACUGUAGCCCACUAUAUCUAUAUUCAAGUCACUCAAACAUUAUCUCCCAGGACUUACUCCUAUACUCCUACAAUUUCUCACUCUUUAUAGGGAUAUACUCUGACAUUUGGAAAUACUCUUUAGUAUGUUUCAUUCGAAAGAAAGCUGACAUCUUUGACCAGGGUAAGCAGUGUCCCAUUACUCUCUUUCUGAACAUUGUUCAGAUAACUGUGAUAGCCAUUAACAAUAGUUCUUACACCUAAAAUGUCUCUCUCUCUCACAACUGAUCACUAGUAUGGCUUCUAUUGAGCCAGAUCCACUGCUGACCUCUCCUGUUGUAAUCACUAGUAGGUUCUCACUUUAGAGAAGUUCAUCAAAAGCAAUGUUAACUGUCUCUAAGGUAUUACUGAAACAUUUAAAGAAUGAAGUAAUAAAAUUAAAUCUCUUGUUUUCUUUUAUUUAAGCAGUGUGUUUGUGUAUACGGACAUAUAUAUGUAUAAAUACAUUAACACACCAUCAUAAAUGUUUAUUGGAAGUGCAAAGAACCUAGUACAUUCUUCAUGGUUGAUGUUAGGACCUCCAAUCAUUGAAACCAUGUUAAAGCAGAUAAUAGAACAUAAUGCAGUCCUGCGAGUCCUUAGAUCCUGUCAGACUGUCCAACCCAUAUUAGUGUGGAAGGUGGGUAUUAAAUAAUGUUGAUUAUACACACUAGACAUGUGCUUGUCUUGCCAGACCAAAAAUCUGCGCCUGGAAAGUAAAUGUUGACAGAACAGUUUCUGCUGUGACUGCAGAAACACACAUACAGGUGACAGUCCUGGCUACAAUUACUGUGCUUGAAGGUGUUGUCUGCCAGUCAUGUCUUGGUGCUGUUUUUCAGUUGAUUUUCCUUUACUUCUUUUUUCUCCUUUUCUUUUUAAACCUUUGUCUAUUUCCAGUCUCUUCUGGUUGUGAUCACUAACAACAUUCUCCCACCUUUCAAAUGUUCAUGUUUUGAAGUCCACCCAUAUGAUGUGUAGUGGAGGAGUCAUUAAACUAGGAUGAGGAAUCUGGGUGAGCCACAACUUCACUGUUGGUGAUUCACGUAUGCGCACACUUACAUAUUGUACAGUUCAAGUUGACUGGGUCUCCAGGUUUUACCUUAUGUGUAAGUGUAGUGACAUCACUUUGACAGAGUGUAUAUUCAAAGCUAUGAAUAUAUUUUUACUCUCUUCCUAUCUGUUCCUUAUGUUCACAGAGCUGACAUUUAUAUAGCAUUCAUUUUAUUAAGCAAUAUUUAUUUUCUUGUUUCAGUAUCAAGCAAUAAUUGUGUUGGAUGAUAUUACUGAUAGACAGGAAGUUUUAGUGUUGCUUAAUUGACAAUCAUGGUAGUAAUAUAUUUUUAUUUUUAAAGCCUUUCAUGAAAUAAGUUACUUUGUUUCCUGAAUUAGUGAUAUAUUUAGGAUGUUAGAAUUUCCCCCAUUUAUGUGAAUUACAUAUUUUUUCCAUGAGAUUCUAUUAAUCUUUUUGCUAUUUUCCUCAUUUUUGUUACAAAAAAUAAACAUACUUGUGUUUCAAUAAUUUUUAUGUUUAUUUGUAAACAUAUUAACAUAUUAGUUUUCUUUAUUAAGAACUAGUGACCACUGUGUGGACGAAACCAUUGCUGUUAUUGUUUUGCUCACAGAUCAGCUCUAAUCAAGUAAAUAAAAGGCAUUCAGCCAUGGCUAUUCCUCCCUCAUUCUAGAAAUACUGCACUUAGCAUCAUAUUCUACAUUGUCUUAAAACAGUAGAGUAUGAUUUGAGUAAGAUUUGAUUUGUAUUUCUGUUAAAGAGAAAUUGUUUUUAGUGAAUGGUUUAAUAAAUAGCUUUUGAUUAGAAAAACAUGUGAAGGCAUUAAUGUGAAAUAGAUGGAAGAAUAAUAUAAAGAUUGUUUUAAUGUUUAAGUGAAAAGGAGCAAUAAAUCUUGAGGAAAUACCUCAAUAAUAGAUACAG